rnacentral:rRNA from 1 species
CAGUCGCCGCGGUAAUACGGAGGGUGCAAGCGUUAAUCGGAAUCACUGGGCGUAAAGCGCACGCAGGCGGUCUGUCAAGUCAGAUGUGAAAUCCCCGGGCUUAACCUGGGAACUGCAUUUGAAACUGGCAGGCUAGAGUCUUGUAGAGGGGGGUAGAAUUCCAGGUGUAGCGGUGAAAUGCGUAGAGAUCUGGAGGAAUACCGGUGGCGAAGGCGGCCCCCUGGACAAAGACUGACGCUCAGGUGCGAAAGCGUGGGGAGCAAACAGGAUUAGAGACCCCUGUAGUCCCUGUCUCUUAUAC